CGGCCGCCAGCUUUUUCCACUGAGGACGCAACAACGGGCAGCUUAGCAACAUCAUGUACAACAUCAGCACCUGCUCAUCUCUUGCUGCUCGUUUAACUGAGCUUCAACUUUGGUCUGUAAGAACGGUGCGUGGGAUGCUGUGGCAGCGCUGGCAUGCUGUGUAAAUUUGUGGACUUUCAGACCAAUUACUGGAUGUUCAUGCAGGCUACCGUCACCCAUUAAACAACAGAAAUAGAAAAAGAUGUGGUGUUGUUCUGAGAUCUGACUUCCCUUGGCGUGCACCAAUAUGGUACGACCGUUUACGCUGGUGAUUCCUGUAUCUACUGUAACUGUAGAUUAACCCUUAUUUAUAAACAGAAAUAAAAGGAAUCUAAAUGGAAUCCA
rnacentral:lncRNA from 1 species